CCUACGGGGGGCAGCAGUGAGGAAUAUUGGUCAAUGGACGAGAGUCUGAACCAGCCAAGUAGCGUGAAGGAUGACUGCCCUAUGGGUUGUAAACUUCUUUUAUAAAGGAAUAAAACGAGGCACGUGUGCCUUUUUGCAUGUACUUUAUGAAUAAGGAUCGGCUAACUCCGUGCCAGCAGCCGCGGUAAUACGGAGGAUCCGAGCGUUAUCCGGAUUUAUUGGGUUUAAGGGGAGCGUAGAUGGGUUGUUAAGUCAGUGGUGAAAGUUUGCGGCUCAACCGUAAAAUUGCAAUUGAUACUGGCAGUCUUGAGUACAGUUGAGGUAGGCGGAAUUCGUGGUGUAGCGGUGAAAUGCUUAGAUAUCACGAAGAACCCCGAUUGCGAAGGCAGCUUACUAAACUGUGACUGACAUUGAUGCUCGAAAGUGUGGGUAGCAAACAGGAUUAGAUACCCUAGUAGUC
rnacentral:rRNA from 1 species